rnacentral:rRNA from 1 species
UGCCUACGGGGGGCAGCAGUGAGGAAUAUUGGUCAAUGGGCGUAAGCCUGAACCAGCCAAGUCGCGUGAGGGACGACGGCCCUACGGGUUGUAAACCUCUUUUGCCGGGGGACAAACGGCGGCACGCGUGCCGUCCUGAGGGUACCCGGAGAAAAAGCAUCGGCUAACUCCGUGCCAGCAGCCGCGGUAAUACGGAGGAUGCGAGCGUUAUCCGGAUUUAUUGGGUUUAAAGGGAGCGUAGGUGGAUUGUUAAGUCAGUUGUGAAAGUUUGCGGCUCAACCGUAAAAUUGCAGUUGAAACUGGCA